rnacentral:rRNA from 1 species
AGCGAACGCUGGCGGCAGGCCUAACACAUGCAAGUCGAGCGCCCCGCAAGGGGAGCGGCAGACGGGAGAGUAACACGUGGGAACGUACCCUUUGGUUCGGAACAACCCAGGGAAACUUGGGCUAAUACCGGAUAAGCCCUUACGGGGAAAGAUUCAUCGCCGAAGGAUCGGCCCGCGUCUGAUUAGCUAGUUGGUGGGGUAACGGCCCACCAAGGCGACGAUCAGUAGCUGGUCUGAGAGGAUGAUCAGCCUCACUGGGACUGAGACACGGCCCAGACUCCUACGGGAGGCAGCAGUGGGGAAUGUUGGACAAUGGGCGCAAGCCUGAUCCAGCCAUGCCGCGUGGGUGAUGAAGGCCCUAGGGUUGUAAAGCCCUUUCGGCGGGGAAGAUAAUGACGGUACCCGCAGAAGAAGCCCCGGCUAACUUCGUGCCAGCAGCCGCCGUAACAC